rnacentral:rRNA from 1 species
UGGGGAAUAUUGCACAAUGGGGGAAACCCUGAUGCAGCGACGCCGCGUGAGCGAAGAAGGUUUUCGAAUCGUAAAGCUCUGUCCUAUGGGAAGAUAAUGACGGUACCAUAAGAAAAAGCCCCGGCUAACUACGUGCCAGCAGCCGCGGUAAUACGUAGGGGGCUAGCGUUGUCCGGAAUCACUGGGCGUAAAGGGUUCGCAGGCGGAAAUGCAAGUCAGGUGUAAAAGGCAGUAGCUUAACUACUGUAGCAUUUGAAACUGCAUAUCUUGAGAAGAGUAGAGGUAAGUGGAAUUUUUAGUGUAGCGGUGAAAUGCGUAGAUAUUAAAAAGAAUACCGGUGGCGAAGGCGACUUACUGGGCUCAUUCUGACGCUGAGGAACGAAAGCGUGGGUAGCAAACAGG